rnacentral:ncRNA from 10 species
CCGCUGUCACAACGGCUUCCUGGCGUGGCGGCUAAACCAUUUUAUCGGAGCA